rnacentral:rRNA from 1 species
AGUGAACGCUGGCGGUAGGCCUAACACAUGCAAGUCGAACGGCAGCACAGUAAGAGCUUGCUCUUACGGGUGGCGAGUGGCGGACGGGUGAGGAAUACAUCGGAAUCUACUUUUUCGUGGGGGAUAACGUAGGGAAACUUACGCUAAUACCGCAUACGUCCUACGGGUGAAAGCAGGGGAUCUUCGGACUUUUCGCUAUUGAAUGAGCCGAUGUCGGAUUAGCUAGUUGGCGGGGUAAAGGCCCACCAAGGCGACGAUCCGUAGCUGGUCUGAGAGGAUGAUCAGCCAGACUGGAACUGAGACACGGUCCAGACUCCUACGGGAGGCAGCAGUGGGGAAUAUUGGACAAGGGGCGCAAGCCUGAUCCAGCAAUACCGCGUGAGUGAAGAAGGCCUUCGGGUUGUAAAGCCCUUUUGUUGGGAAAGAAAAGCAGCAGGUUAAUACCCCGCUGUUCUGACGGUACCCAAAGAAUAAGCACCGGCUAACUUCGUG